rnacentral:sRNA from 2 species
UGAGAAGCUUCGACUAAGGUUCGAUUCGAGCGAAAGCGAGAAAGCGUUGCCGCAGGCAACGACCCGAAGGGCGAAACGCGCAGCGCUGAGUCAUCCUUCCCCCACCACCA